rnacentral:rRNA from 1 species
UACGUGAAACCGCUCAGGGGUAAACGGAAAAGACCCGAAACACCGAAAAGGGAGAUUCACGUCUCCUCGCGGGCGCCGCACCCAGGUUGGAGGAUGGCCUUACGCCCCGUCCGGUUCGUCCGUGGCGGUGGGUAGGCCGCCUCCUCCGAAGUGACCGGCCUCGCGGAAGACCGCACUUCUCCCCCAGUAGGACGUCGCGACCCGCUCUGCGGCGGUCUAACGGACGGGAGAAAGCCUGGCGGGUGCGUCUCACUUGUGAGUCGUUCUCAGCCAGACCCCCGAACCCGCGGCCGUCGGUCAGGGCGGUACAAAAGACAGCGUUGGGCCGCUUCCAAGAGAGCGCCGAUGUCCUCCCGCAAGCUCGGGUUGGCUCGUCGGACCGUAUCCAAUCGGGUACGCCCGGCGUCCGCCCGGACUGUUGGCGGGAGUGAGCUCAGGCCGAUGUCCAACACGCUCGUCGGCGGCGCUUCAGAUUCGGGCACUUAUCCGACCCGUCUUGAAACACGGACCAAGGAGUCUAGCGUGUGCGCGAGUCACUGGGUGAAAAACCUAAAGGCGCAAUGAAAGUGUCGGUGGUGGUGCUAUGCGCCACCCGUGGGAGGAUGGGCUUACCGGCCUCCAGGUCGGAGCCCCGCACUCCCGGGGCGUCUCGUUCUCGUUACGAGUGGAGACGCACCAGGAGCGCACACGCUGGUACCCGAAAGAUGGUGAACUAUGCAUGGCCAGGACGAAGCCAGGGGAAACCCUGGUGGAGGUCCGAAGCGAUUCUGACGUGCAAAUCGAUCGUCUGAGCUAUGUAUAGGGGGCGAAAGGCCAAUCGAACCAUC